GUUCAUCCUGAAGCCCUGGGAAUUGAUUUGUCUGCAUUUUGUGAACCUGAGAUACAGAAGACCUCAUCAAUGCCUGGCAGUAUCAGCAGAUACUGGAUUUCUUGCUGGAGAAGGAAAGAAGUUGCCAUGACUACUCACCAAGUAAUACUCUAUUAUGUGCAAUGGAGACACUAACUGCCCCCAUGUCAGAGAAUUGCUGAGAACCAGACCCAGAGAGGAUUGCCAAAUUUUCCACUGAAUGCCAGAGGAAGAAGCACUCUGCUGAGGAGGGACACGUUGUGUUGGUGUUGCAAAGGUUUGUCUCUGCAAAGGAAAACAUCUUCAUUGCACAG